GAUGAACGCUGGCGGCGUGCCUAAUACAUGCAAGUCGAGCGAACGGACGAGAAGCUUGCUUCUCUGAUGUUAGCGGCGGACGGGUGAGUAACACGUGGAUAACCUACCUAUAAGACUGGGAUAACUUCGGGAAACCGGAGCUAAUACCGGAUAAUAUUUUGAACCGCAUGGUGCAAAAGAGAAAGACGGUCUUGCUGUCACUUAUAGAUGGAUCCGCGCUGCAUUAGCUAGUUGGGAAGGUAACGGCUUACCAAGGCAACGAUGCAUAGCCGACCUGAGAGGGGGAUCGGCCACACUGGAACGGAGACGCGGUCCAGACUACUACGGGAGGCAGCAGUAGGGAAUCUUCCGCAAUGGGCGAAAGCCUGACGGAGCAACGCCGCGUGAGUGAUGAAGGUCUUCGGAUCGGAAAACUCUGUUAUUAGGGAAGAACAUAUGUGUAAGUAACUGUGCACAUCUUGACGGUACCUAAUCAGAAAGCAACGGCUAACUACGUG
rnacentral:rRNA from 1 species